AGUCCUCUCACAUCCUUAGUCCUCUCACAUCCUUAGUCCUCUCACAUCCUUAGUCCUCUCACAUCCUUAGUUCUCUCACAUCCUUAGUCCUCUCACAUCCUUAGUCCUCUCACAUCCCGAGUCCUCUCACAUCCCGAGUUCUCUUCAUCCUGAGUCCUCUCACAUUCCGAGUCCUCUCACAUCCUUAGUCCUCUCACAUCCUUAGUCCUCUCACAUCCCGAGUCCUCUCACAUCCUGAGUCCUCUCACAUCCUUAGUCCUCUCACAUCCCGAGUCCUCUCACAUCCUUAGUCCUCUCACAUCCUUAGUCCUCUCACAUCCUUAGUCCUCUCACAUCCUUAGUCCUCUCACAUCCUUAGUCCUCUCACAUCCUUAGUCCUCUCACAUCCCGAGUCCUCUCACAUCCUUAGUCCUCUCACAUCCUUAGUCCUCUCACAUCCCGAGUCCUCUCACAUCCUUAGUCCUCUUCAUCCUGAGUCCUCUCACAUCCUUAGUUCUCUCACAUCCCGAGUCCUCUCACAUCCCGAGUCCUCUCACAUCCCGAGUCCUCUCACAUCCUUAGUCCUCUCACAUCCCGAGUCCUCUCACAUCCCGAGUCCUCUCACAUCCCGAGUCCUCUCACAUCCUUAGUCCUCUCACAUCCUUAGUCCUCUUCAUCCCGAGUCCUCUCACAUCCUUAGUCCUGUCACAUCCUUAGUCCUCUUCAUCCCGAGUCCUCUCACAUCCUUAGUCCUCUUCAUCCCAAGUCCUCUCACAUCCUGAGCCUGUCUGCAGACUCACCUCCUGAAACUAAAAGCAUCACCCCUGAACAACUGCAGCUCGGUGUUAGCUACUGAUUGACGGAGCAAUGCUUUUCUCCGCCUUGCUUCUUGAUCUUUUUAAUCUAAUCACAGACUCCUGAUGAUUGUGCAAUGAAAGAAAUCAAUUUUAUCUUGAUUUGUUUUAUAACUUAAAAUGUAAAAGACCACGGAUGAAAGCAGCAUCAUCAAUGACCCAAUGGUGGUGCUCAGUUCUUUAAAGUCAAGAAUAACAUUUCAAUUGAAAAACUGGAAUUCCUGUGGACCCGCGGGGGAUGUAUUGUUAUUAUAGAUAAUAGAGUUAACCACAUUCCUAUUAUGUUUUAUCUUUUACGUGAUGUCGUUUUUACCUCUAUGCACCUUCUUUAUGCAAAAGAAACUCCGAAGACAAACGUGUUUAUGAUUCUGUAAACUUUUUACUGCUGUCCUUUGUUUGCAUUGUUAUUUUCUUAUCAUGAAAUCUAAAUGUCCGUCUCUUUCAACGACCAUGAGACAUUUUUCUUGAUUUACCAUAUUAUCACAUUUGUUAAGAACAGUAUUGUAUGAUAUGUUAUGUUCUUGUGUCUAAUCAUUAAGGUUCGCUGUAUUUCACAGGAUCCCGUUGCCACAUCCGCCUCCACUAAUCACGCCUGAACUAGUGGUUAUUGUGCAAAGCCAAUUUAAGGGUGCUGCAGAAUUACAGAUGAAUUAAAUAUGAAUAAUUAUGGCUUGUAAUAAAAAGGAGUAUGAUUCUUG